rnacentral:rRNA from 1 species
UACGAAGGGGACUAGCGUUGUUCGGAAUCACUGGGCGUAAAGCGCACGUAGGCGGAUGUGUCAGUCAGGGGUGAAAUCCCGGAGCUCAACUUCGGAACUGCCUCUGAUACAGCACGUCUUGAGUCCGAUAGAGGUGGGUGGAAUUCCUAGUGUAGAGGUGAAAUUCGUAGAUAUUAGGAAGAACACCGGUGGCGAAGGCGGCCCACUGGAUCGGUACUGACGCUGAGGUGCGAAAGCGUGGGGAGCAAACAGGAUUGA